rnacentral:tRNA from 1 species
UCUAUUAUGGCAGAUUAGUGCAAUGAAUUUAAAUUUCAUAUAUAAAAUUAUUUUUUUUUAGAA